AUGUCCGCCCUCGUCUCCAACGCUCAAAGUGUGUUCAUCAAAACACAGAGCAUCCACGACAACUUCAUGUAUGUUAGAAACCAUGCGCGUCGCUUGCACAAGAGCAAGACUCCCUCUCUCCUUUUGAAGCUGGACAUCCGCAAGGCAUUUGACUCUGUCAAAUGGGAGUACUUGCUUGACCUCCUACGGAGGCGAGGUUUCCCAAGCAAAUUUCGAGAGUGGAUUGCGGCUCUGCUAUGCUCCUCAUCUUCGAGGAUCCUCUUGAAUGGGGUGGCUGGUACCCCCAUCAAGCAUGGCCAGGGACUACGACAAGGGGACCCGUCUCUCCCCUCCUUUUUGUGA
rnacentral:rRNA from 1 species